UGGGGGCAGCAUCACACCAAAGCAGACCUUCUAACGUCUCAUUUGCAAACUUUAUCCUACAAACAUGGAUGGACCGGAGCAAUCAUCACCUGGAAGGCAGACUUAUCCAGAUUGCCUGGAGUGGACGCCUUGCUCCUGCCUUUAAUAGAAAGUAUAAAGGGCGCCACUCGUGCCGCAGAGGAACCAGCUGUGACUGCUGACGACACGUCCCCUGGGAUGCCUCAGAGACCGCCUCACCUCCCCACUCCUCAGAAGUUUCUGGAAGCUCUUGGAGCUUGACAUUCCCCAGG
rnacentral:lncRNA from 1 species